AUGCCACAACUAAAAGUCGGCAUGACAUACCAAGGAGUUAUCCCAACAUCUUGAGGAAUUAACUUUGUUUUGUCCAUUUGCAGAUCAUUUUUUUAUUGGUUUCGGUGAUAGCAUUUGAGAUGAUAAAUGGAAUAAAGCCAUGAACGAAAGGAUCAAAGCUAGUGUGAAGAAUAAUAAUCGUAGUUAACAACACUUCCUAUGGUCAAAAUCCAAUUUGAGUCAAAUGGAUUUUCAAGGAGAAAAAGAAUGAAAAUGGUGAAAU
rnacentral:lncRNA from 1 species